rnacentral:rRNA from 1 species
GACGAACGCUGGCGGCGUGCCUAAUACAUGCAAGUAGAACGCUGAAGGAGGAGCUUGCUUCUCUGGAUGAGUUGCGAACGGGUGAGUAACGCGUAGGUAACCUGCCUGGUAGCGGGGGAUAACUAUUGGAAACGAUAGCUAAUACCGCAUAAUAGUAGAUGUUGCAUGACAUUUGCUUAAAAGGUGCAAUUGCAUCACUACCAGAUGGACCUGCGUUGUAUUAGCUAGUUGGUGAGGUAACGGCUCACCAAGGCGACGAUACAUAGCCGACCUGAGAGGGUGAUCGGCCACACUGGGACUGAGACACGGCCCAGACUCCCACGGGAGGCAGCAGUAGGGAAUCUUCGGCAAUGGACGGAAGUCUGACCGAGCAACGCCGCGUGAGUGAAGAAGGUUUUCGGAUCGUAAAGCUCUGUUGUAAGAGAAGAACGAGUGUGAGAGUGGAAAGUUCACACUGUGACGGUACCUUACCAGAAAGGGACGGCUAACUACGUG